rnacentral:tRNA from 1 species
GCCCAGGUGGCUCAGUGGUUAAGCUUCCGACUUCGGCUCAGGUCAUGAUCUCACAGUCUGUGGGUUCAAGCCCCACACUGGGCU